GGGAGAGGGAGAGGGAGAGGCCUGCGCCAAGUCAGCGCCCCGCCAUAGUGACAGUUUUGUGCCCUGAAUGAUGCAAGCAGUGGUUUGAGGGAGUCUGUUGGUCCUGUCAUGCAAGUUACGGCAUCCUUUGUGUUGUUAAUGAAGUGUUGGGGAGGCUAGUGUGAGUGUGUGUGUGUGUGUGUGUGUGUGUGUGUACUGCAAGCAAUGCUAUUGGUACAUCCACCCCCAGCCGUGACAUACCUGUGACGUGUGUGUAUAUGUGUGUGACGCUAACCUCUUGCUGUGUGUGUGUGUGUGUGUGUGUGUGUGUGGCCAGUGGGGAGACGCCACGUCACGGGUUGGCAGGCAGGAAACAAGAGUGGAUCAGUUUUGGCCUGGCUGUGAAGGUGAGCGGGUGGAGUGUCAGUACUGUUACUGGAUUUGUAUUAAUAUUACGUUUGCAAGACAAUUGAGCGGCAUAGUUUGUGUUGACACGGCUUAUUACCGCAGUCUGCACAGCGUCUGCAGUGUGGCAAGCCUUAUAAGUACAGUGUGUGUGUACUGACGUACCUUGUGUCCGCGCUUCCUCCGCCCCCCUGUCAGAUAUGGAGGGGUUGGGGAAAGGAUGCCGUGUCCCUGAGUCUGCCCCUGACUGGCCAGCUGACGCCCAUUGAUAUCUCCAUGGCCGUGGUGAGGCAGGAGAGGACUCAAGGAUGGAGAGCUUAGGAUACCACACGGAGGAGGGUGAAGGAGCCUUGGGGAAGCCUGAAGGAGGGGCAGUGAAGGAGGGAGGCCUGGAGGUGAAGGAAAUGCAGAAAAUUCCUCUAAUAGUGAGCGCUUCGCUGGUCAGACCAUCCCUCACUGAAUAUUUGAACCGAGGCUUCGAGAUACGAGAUGAGAAUCCGUUUUUUAGUAGUUUAAGCCAGUUUUAUGUGUUUUUGGGUGUUUGUAGAUUGUUUUUAUCUUGUUUUGAGUAUUUUUUUGGUUUGUGAAAGGAGGGAGAAAGCUUAAAUACAGUAAUAAUACCGAAAAAAAGGCUUAAAUUGAGAGUUUUAAAGUUAUCUUAGCGUAUAUUAAGCUGUUUUAAAUGUUUUAAGUUACCAGAAGAGAGGAAGCUUAAAUUUAAUAUUAGGAUAAGGAAAAAGCUUAUUUCUUGCAUUAGGAAGAAAGGAAAGCUUAAUAUUGCCACCUCAUCCCCCCAGCCCCCAGUGAGCCAGGUGACCCCCUAGAACAACGCCAUCCUGCCUAUUUGUGGUGUGGCAGCCCAGAUCGUCCCCCUCCCUCCCUCAUCCUCCUCCUCCUCUAGCAAAGAAGAGACGUUUAAUCAGCUAGUGGACAGGUUGUUGUUGUUGUUGUUAUUGUUGUUGUGGGGGUGGCGGUGGUAGUAGUGGCGGCGGUGGUUGUUCGUCUCUCUCUCUCUCUCUCUCUCUCUCUCUCUCUCUCUCUCUCUCUCUCAGGCGGUGGUGGGGGGGCGGGAGGGCGUAGUCUCGAGGAGGCUGGCAGAGGUUAUGGAAGGGUCCUGGUAUCCUCCCUCUCCCUCACUCCCUCGCUCCCUCCUUGGGCUCUCUCCGGAACAAGUAGCGGCGUGGCUGGAAGUGGGCGGAAGUUUAGCAGGCUUCUCUAAGAUUGGGCUGGAAGUUAGCGGAAGAGGAGACGUGGCACAUGACAAGGCAAUACAGGGCUUACAGAGGGCAGGCGUGACUGGGCCCUGCCUCGCCGCCCUUGUCAACACCCUAGAGAGAAAUACGCUCACCUUGUAGAGAGGAUAUAUUUUAAUUUUCUUUCGUUGUAUAUUUUAUUUGUUUAUUUAUUUAUUAUUAAAAGGAAUAUUUUCUUUUCUCAAUAUUUUUCGUUCGUUUUUAUAAUGGAUUGUUUAAUUUUAUCUAUAUUUGUUUACAUUUUUUUAUCAAUUUCUUUCGAUUUUAUAUUCAGUUUAUUUAUUUAUCAUUAUUUCUUAAGAUAAUUUCUUUAUUUUCUUUAUUUUUCGCUCGUUUUCAUAAUGGGAGUGUUCAAUUUUAUCUAUAUUUUU